GGUUGUAUGGCUAAGUUGGUUAAAGCAUCGGACAAGAAAGAUGGAGUCAUAGGUUCAAAUCCCACUAGAACCA
rnacentral:tRNA from 1 species